UUACUGAAAUUUAGGAAAUUGCAAUGGCUCAUAAGCCUCAUCAUAUAAGGAAUCAUUAAUUCUUGGAUUUUUAAAGCUGAGACUCUUACAAUCAACUAAUGUUUCGUUAAGAUCUUCAAUUUUAUCAACUCCCAAUAACCUCAUGUUAUUUUCAAUUUCGGCUUGUAGAAUGUUGAUUAGAUGAGAAACACCAUCUUCUCCGUAGCCAGCCAUUGCAUAUAGAAAUGGGCGACCUAGCCCAACCCCUUUGGCUCCCAAGCAUAAAGCCUUUAUAAUAUCUGAACCUCUGCGAACUCCACCAUCGAGAUAUAUUUCAAUUUUGUCAUCCAGUUUCUUCUCUUUUAACAUUUGUUUGGCCUCUACUAAAACUUCCAGUGGGGGUCUUGAGAAAUCAAGUUGUCUGCCCCCAUGGUUUGAUAGAAUUACAGCUUUAACGCCUUUUUGUGCGGCAAGGACAACAUCUUCUCCACGUUGAACUCCUUUCAAGGCCACGGGUAAGUUGGUAUUUUUGAUGACGUUUUCGAUGGUUCUCCAUGUGAUCUUUGGAUGGCUGCCAAAUUUGUUAUCCGUCAUUUCAUCUAAGUACUCACUCCCAGCAGUAGCUGCCCUUUGGCGAGAGUCUUUCUCUCUGUUUCCAAUAUCUGCAAGGUCUACGUUAAGGAAAAGGCCCUUCACACUGGGUAGAGUACCUGCCUUUUUCACCCAAUUAUCUAGGUUAUCUAGUUCUUCCUGUGUGUCGAAAUGGAAUUGUAACCAUUGAUUUUGGUCGUCAGGGACGCGUGAAAAGAACUCUUCAUAGGUGUAAGAGUUCUGUUUGGGGACCAUUUGCAUUACGUUGGCCUUAUAUGCAGCUGCUUGUAGAUUAAGCUCCCCCAAAGGGUGUGCCAACUUAGAACCGGCGAAAGCCGUUAUGUAAAUUGGCAAAUUUACCUUCGUACCCAAAAACUCCGUUUCCGUAGUGACUUCUUCUAUAUCUUGUAAUAUCUUAGGUCUAAAGAAUACUCUCGAGUAAGCGUAAUGAUUCUCUCUAAGUGUAUAUUCAUCAGAAGAACCAGUUGCAUAAUAAAAGAAAGUAGACUUUGGCAAUACCUUCUUAGCCACCCCUUCAAAAUCGGAGAGGCAGAAUAUUUUACUUAAGGGAGGAAUUUUGGCCUUUUGUUCCAUAAUCCUUAUCUCUUCCUCAGAAAGCUCAUUCUCAAAAGCGCCUGACAGUUUUCCAAUGUAUAUCAAAUGAUCCUUCAUCUUUUCCAAAGUAGCAGAAGAAUGCAUUUGGUGAAAUUUUGCAGUUGCAUCUUUACCAGCAAAUUCCAUAAUUCUGGCCACACCUCCAGGAUGCUGUGAUAAGAACAAUGUGACAUCGUACACAUUACCAUCAAUAACUAUCCAGCAAUCAUUGAUUUUGUUAUGAGACAUUACUUCCUUCACAGAAACGCUGCCAUUCUUUUCCUCCUCUACUUCAAACAACAAAUGAGAAAGAAAUAAAACAAGAGAUGAAGCCCCAGUAAUAAGCGAUGCUUUCUUAGUAGUAUCGUAAUUCAACAAUUUUGCCUUUGGAUACAGCCUGUAUUGGCCCUUAGGUUGAGGCUUCAUUGUUCUCAAAAGCCUUUUACUAGUAUGCACAAAAAGACCAUUAUUGGUUUUCCUGCUGGUUAAUCUAGUUAUGGUCCAUGCCCUAGUUUUAAGUGCAUUCAU
rnacentral:tRNA from 1 species